rnacentral:tRNA from 1 species
GCCCCUUUAGCUCAGUUGGUAGAGCUGGUGACUUUUAAUCACUAGGUCGCAGGUUCGAGCCCUGCAGGGGGCA